AAGUUAAUGACACUGUGUGAUACAAAUGAGUGCCAGGAGUAGAGGACUCGUUAGUGUGGUCACGGAAGACAAGGAUGCAAAUCAUGAACACGAGCAGGAGUGUGAACAACGCCAGGCUUCAGAUCUCGGCGAGUCAUAAGAACGUAUCGCUGAUCAGAUGCAGCAGAUAUUUAAUGAUAAUAUUUUUCUUGAUGAUAGCACGUCAGAGUCGGAACAAGAGCUUCCACGGACUAAGAUAACAUUGCCUGCAAGGCGAAUCUCGGAAACUACAUCAGAGUCAGAGUAGUCGUUAUUCGGCGGCGACUUUUCUGAUAACGAUCCUACCUACUAUCCAGACGAAGAGGACCAGCAGCGAGCUCCUGGCAACGACGGCGAUGAUGAUGGUGAUUUAAUUACAUUGCAGGACUUAUUAGGCGCCACUGCUAAUGAAAGCAUUAAAUCUUUUACUAUAUCACCACAGCCUGGCACCAGUCACCAAUAUGAAGAGAUAAAUCGACACAGUCUCUGAGAUUGCUACUCUAAUAUUAUCAGAUGUGUUAGAGUUGGUUUGGCCUGAAGUGAAAACAUUAAGCCGUUGGCAAGCUGCUGAUCCGAGCUUGGAAAAAAAAACGUCGCAAAAAAAAAGACGUGCGGAAGGGUUGUCGUAUACAACUAAUAACCACAUAAGAGCCCCAAAAGUCCCUAAGACAGUUGAUUGUACAAAAUGCUAAUUCAAAUGUACAGAUACAUUCACCGAACAAGACCGAGCGAAAAUAUGUAGAAUCUACUGGCAUUUGGACUUUGUGAGCAAAAAAACUUUAUACUGUCUCGUGUUACAGUCCAGCCACCAAAGAAAGUCCUGGUAGAGAGAAAACGUCCAGCUAGACCUUAGGUACACUACAAAGUGUUUUUUUUUUAUUUAGGCGCAGAGGAGCGACAAGUUUGCCAGAAAUUCUUUUGCUCUACUUUAGGCAUCUCACAGGCAACUCUCGGUGACGCGGUUAAAAACCGAGAUGAAAUUGGAUUUUACUCCGGUGCUGAUGGACGAGGACAUCAUAUUCCGCCACAUAAAACUCCCCCAGAAAAAGUGCAAGAAGUAGUUGACCACAUUUCUUCCAUUCCUACAAUCCCUCCAUUGUAAAAUAAUUGAUAAAAUUUCAGUUUAUUCAUUUCAAAUACCAACAAAUUAUUACUACGUGCUAACAACUAGUUUCUUUAGUGAAAACACUGUAAUGAGUAAAAUUAUGGAGCCUUCAAUAAGAAAUUCCAAUAUUGUUUACAGGUAAAACCUCUUAUACUUUGGUCGAUUUUCAGUUAAAUUGAAAAAACACGAAAACCUAUAGGUAUUUACUAUUAUCUUGGGGCUAGUAGAUACAUUCUAUGUAAAGUAAAGCUGAAUUAAAUAGAUAUACAGGCAUAAAUGCUUUCCUGAGGGAUUUAUACCAAAGUAUAUUUCUACAGGCAAAACCUAUUAAGUGCGCGACUAUUUAAUUUUAAUCUUAUUUUUAUCGUCACUUAGACACAACCUGGAUCUUUUGUAUGAUUAGGUAGUAAACUAGAUAAAAUUAUGCUUAGAAAUUUAUAAAUACAGUGUAAAUUUGUUCAUAUUUUUACAUAGAAAAGAACAUCCAAACAUUCAAAUAUAGACCAAUAGUGGGACCGGAUUUUUGCCCUAUAAGUUUCGAUAAUUCUAAAGAGUGAAAAGUGAUGUUUAUCUGGUAUGGGACAUAUUUUUAAGCAUAUUUGUAAUAUAUGAAGAAAAUUUAGAACGAGCGUUAGAUAUAAAUAAGGUAUUUAUGUAUUUUUAUUGAUGAAUUUUGAAUAUUGAAUUAAAGUACAAAAUUUAAGCAUCGUCUUUUAUAAUAUGUAUGAGGCUUUAUGCUAUCAAAUUUUUAGAAAAAAAAUCAACGUGCUACUUUGUCAAACUCAAAUUAGCUUAUUAUUUUGUCAAUAUUGAAUUAAAGUUUGAAAAAUCCACAAUAUCAUAUCUAAAUUCUUAAGUUAAUAGGCAAGGCAAAAAAUUAGAAGAAUAGGAUUAGUGCUUUACAAUUAAUAUGCGUUUUUUGUCCUGUAAGAUCUAAUAUUGAAUUAAAGUCCGUAGAGAUAAGUCUAUUACUAUAAAAUAAUAUAUGCAGCCAUUUUAUGGAAAGUAAGAAUUAUCUGUGUGUAGCUUGCAUUGUAAUAGUAAAAUCAACUUAAAAAGGCGCGAAAUUCAUAACCACGCCGCGCUGGUCCGUCAACAUGUCGGCUCGGCGCGCGGGAGUCUAUCGUAGCCGACCUAGUGAGCGAUAGAUACCUCGCCCCGCCCGCGCCCCCCGCUCAGCUUCGCAAGUUUUGUCUUUUCUUUCAAAUCAUUCAUUUGUUUGUUUAUCGUGCACAUAAAUUAGAUGCGGACAUUACAUGAAUUUAA